AUUGAACGCUGGCGGCAGGCCUAACACAUGCAAGUCGAGCGGAUGAAGGGAGCUUGCUCCUGGCUUCAGCGGCGGACGGGUGAGUAAUGCCUAGGAAUCUGCCUGGUAGUGGGGGAUAACGUCCGGAAACGGGCGCUAAUACCGCAUACGUCCUGAGGGAGAAAGUGGGGGAUCUUCGGACCUCACGCUAUCAGAUGAGACUAGGUCGGAUUAGCUAGUUGGUGGGGUAAAGGCCUACCAAGGCGACUAUCCGUAACUGGUCUGAGAGGAUGAUCAGUCACACUGGAACUGAGACACGGUCCAGACUCCUACGGGAGGCAGCAGUGGGGAAUAUUGGACAAUGGGCGAAAGCCUGAUCCAGCCAUGCCGCGUGUGUGAAGAAGGUCUUCGGAUUGUAAAGCACUGUAAGUAGGGAGGAAGGGCAGUAAGUUAAUACCUUGCUGUCUUGACGGUACCAACAGAAUAAGCACCGGCUAACUUCGUG
rnacentral:rRNA from 1 species